rnacentral:rRNA from 1 species
CAGCAGUGAGGAAUAUUGGUCAAAGGAGGCAACUCUCAACCAGCCAUGCCGCGUGCAGGAUGACGGUCCUGUGGAUUGUAAACUGCUUUUGUACAGGAAGAAACAUUUCUACGUGUAACAACUUGACUGUACCGUAAGAAUAAGGAUCGGCUAACUCCGCGCCAUGCAGCCGCGGUAAUACAGAGGCUCCGAGCGUUAUCCGGAAUUAUUGGGUUUAAAGGGUUCGUAGGUGGUUAGAUAAGUCAGUGGUGAAAUUUCCUAGCUCAAGUAGGGCACUUCCAUUGAUACUGUUUAACUUUAAUAGUAUGGAAGUAAGUAGAAUAUGUUCAGUGUAGCGGUGAAAUGCUUACAUAUUACAUGGAAUACCAAUUGAGAAGGCAGCUUAGUCCGUACUUAUCGACUCUGAUGAACGAAAGCGUGCGGAGCGAACAGGAUUAGAUACCGUGGUAGGCCCCGCCGUACACAAUGGAUAGGAAGUGGUCGCUCUUCGGAGUGAGUGCCUAAGCGAAAGUGAUAAGUAUCCCACCUGGGGAGUACGUUCGCAAGAAUGAAACUCAAACGAAUU